rnacentral:rRNA from 1 species
GACGAACGCUGGCGGCGUGCUUAACACAUGCAAGUCGAACGGAAAGGCCCUGCUUUUGUGGGGUGCUCGAGUGGCGAACGGGUGAGUAACACGUGAGUAACCUGCCCUUGACUUUGGGAUAACUUCAGGAAACUGGGGCUAAUACCGGAUAGGAGCUCCUGCUGCAUGGUGGGGGUUGGAAAGUUUCGGCGGUUGGGGAUGGACUCGCGGCUUAUCAGCUUGUUGGUGGGGUAGUGGCUUACCAAGGCUUGGACGGGUAGCCGGCCUGAGAGGGUGACCGGCCACAUUGGGACUGAGGUACGGCCCAGACUCCUACGGGAGGCAGCAGUGGGGAAUAUUGCACAAUGGGCGGAAGCCUGAUGCAGCAACGCCGCGUGCGGGAUGACGGCCUUCGGGUUGUAAACCGCUUUCGCCUGUGACGAAGCGUGAGUGACGGUAAUGGGUAAAGAAGCACCGGCUAACUACGUG